rnacentral:rRNA from 1 species
UACGUAGGGUGCAAGCGUUGUCCGGAAUUAUUGGGCGUAAAGAGCUCGUAGGCGGCUUGUCGCGUCGGCUGUGAAAACCUGGGGCUCAACCCCGGGCCUGCAGCCGAUACGGGCAAGCGUAGAAUUCGGUAGGGGGAGACUGGAAUUCCUGGUGUAGCGGUGGAAUGCGCAGAUAUCAGGAGGAACACCGAUGGCGAAGGCAGGUCUCUGGGCCACUACUGACGCUGAGAAGCGAAAGCAUGGGGAGCGAACAGG